UUUAGUGUUGAUGCUGUCUAUGGUUACACUGUCCUGAUCCCGUAUGAUUUCAGAAGCUAAGUGGGGUCAGCCAUGGUUAGUAAUUGAAUGGGAGAUGACAAUGCCAAGU
rnacentral:rRNA from 1 species